rnacentral:rRNA from 1 species
CAGAGGGUGCAAGCGUUAAUCGGAUUUACUGGGCGUAAAGCGUGUGUAGGUGGUUGGGAAAGUCAAUUGUGAAAGCCCCGGGCUUAACUCGGGAACUGCUUUUGAUACUGUCUGACUAGAAUUCGGUAGAGGGAGGCGGAACUCCAGGUGUAGCGGUGAAAUGCGUAGAUAUCUGGAAGAACACCAAUGGCGAAGGCAACCUCCUGGGCCUGAAUUGACACUGAGACAUGAAAGCGUGGGGAUCAAACAGGAUUAGAUACCCUGGUAGUCCACGCCGUAAACGAUGACAACUUGACGUCGGUUUGCUCUGCGAAUCGGUGUCGUAGCUAACGCGAUAAGUUGUCCGCCUGGGGAGUACGGCCGCAAGGUUG